rnacentral:other from 1 species
ACCCUGCGUAGUGCGAUAGACUUAAAUUUUUAGAACCAACACACGUUAAGAGGGGCUGAUCUCGUAAAUAUGGCGUGCAAGCUCACAACUAAUAGUGAGAAGCCCAUGAGUAUUUAGGUAGGCACCCACCUGUUUUUGGAAGCAGGUCCUUAAAAAUUCAAGACAUCUAACGGCUAAGGCGGGGAUU